CUCAGAUUGAACGCUGGCGGCAGGCCUAACACAUGCAAGUCGAGCGGUAGAGGAGGUGCUUGCAUCUCUUGAGAGCGGCGGACGGGUGAGUAAUGCCUAGGAAUCUGCCUAGUGGUGGGGGGAUAACGUUCGGAAACGGACGCUAAUACCGCAUACGUCCUACGGGAGAAAGCGGGGGGAUCUUCGGACCUCGCGCCAUUAGAUGAGCCUAGGUCGGAUUAGCUAGUUGGUGAGGUAAUGGCUCACCAAGGCGACGAUCCGUAACUGGUCUGAGAGGAUGAUCAGUCACACUGGAACUGAGACACGGUCCAGACUCCUACGGGAGGCAGCAGUGGGGAAUAUUGGACAAUGGGCGAAAGCCUGAUCCAGCCAUGCCGCGUGUGUGAAGAAGGUCUUCGGAUUGUAAAGCACUUUAAGUUGGGAGGAAGGGUAGUAACCUAAUACGUUGCUACUUUGACGUUACCGACAGAAUAAGCACCGGCUAACUUCGUG
rnacentral:rRNA from 1 species